CAAAUUUUGGAAGUUUGUAACCUGAAACAAUCUUGUCAGCAAGCUGAAGACGCCCUUUCGCAAGGUAUGGAGAAACUCCAGGAAACUGUGUCUUCCACCGUGGCAGGUGGUCCAGUGGCCGAAGAUAGUUACAUUCCUCAAGUGGCCACUGCAAUGGAGAAGUUAGAAGCUUUAGUCAGCUUUGUGAACCAGGUACUAAUUGCAUCAUUCCAUGGUGGCACACAUGAGUUUAUUCUAGGAACUUUCCAGAAUUAGUUUUUCUUUCCAAGUCAAUAUAUAUUACCCAGAAAUUGGUUCUUUAUCCAUGCAUUUGAAGUGAAAAUAUAAUCAACAAGUGCGAGAUUUUUAAUAAAUUCUUAUUUCAUUUUUAUUUCAAAAUGAUGUUUAACUAUAUAUGCUGUACCUACUGUGACAGGUAAUACGGGUUAUAUGAUAACCUAGAAAAUUUUCUAAUUAUCUUAUAUUGAAAAACCUAGGGCUUCCCGGAAAGGUGCGAAACUAUGGAAAUCUUGGUCAAAGGAUUUAUUGUUAUGAACUAGGUUGGUGACAAACGGUUUUUGUUCAAUUAGAGAACAUAGCUAAGGGUCACAAAGUAUGAGCACACCAAAAUUAAGUUUAGUGAUGUAUAAGAGUCUAGAUAACAAAACUUUAUUGUCAAAGAGAAGCCAUCUUAAUGAUCUUAUUCAAGUUUAAACUAAUGCCUAUAUAUUUCCAUACGCAGGCUGAUCACCUUCGGCAGGAAACGCUACAGCAGAUGUCUCGCAUCCUGACAACUCGUCAGGCCGCUCGAGGCUUACUUGCUUUAGGAGAAUACUUCCACCGUCUUCGAGCUUUGAGUACACUAUGGGCUACCCGUCCUCCUGAACCUUCCUUGCCUUAGUGUAUAAGUUCCUACAUGCAUGGUGGUCAAUUUUAAACAUAAGUAGCCUUAAUUUAUGCUGCCAACAUUUUUUCAAGCAGCUAAUUUUAAGAAAACUAAGAUAUCUGAGAUGAUGUGCAUAUGAGUAGUUAUGAUUAAAUCCUAAAGGAGGAUUGUGACUAAAUCAAUUUUCAAUGCACUAUUGUACAUUGUAUAAUAUUCUUAAAAUAAUAUACAUAUAUAUAUAGGUUCUACAUUUGAGUUAACAUACUCAGCUGAAACUUUCAUCGUGUAACAUAGUUUUGGUGUUGUUUUUGUAUUAUGGAAAUUGCCAAUGCAUGAUUGUGAAAAGUUGCUCAUGUAUUGGAAAGUUCAGGAGUAUGUUAAAUAAAAGCUUCACCUAGUCUUAUCAUUUAUUUAUUUUUGUUGUUUUCUUCAACUUUCGGUAAACUGAAUUUAGAGAACACAAGUUAUGGGUUUGGGGUAGUGCCAAGGCGACCAUUUUUUUUGUUCAAAUAGUUAACAUACAUUUUCAUUUUGUUUCACAGUUAUUUGUUUCAAAACCAAUAUAUAUUUGUUAUUCUAUCUUCUUGUUGCCGUUAAGUUCAGGGAGGACGUUAGGCGUUGUGUAAAGACGAUAAAGAUAAUAGACGGUCUUAGGUACCAGAAACAAAUAUUAUGAAACAAAUCGAGUGUCAAUUUCAAGAUAAAACUUGUAAUCAUAUUACGCAUAUAGACUCUAGAAAUGAAAAUAACAUUUCAUCUCUGAGUAAGGGUAUAAAUAGUCUUGUUGAUAUGACUUCUUUUUAUUUUUCUAAGUUAUAUAAUAAGAUCAGUUCUGUAGAAGAAAAAGUAAAUAAUUUAAGAGAUAUUAAAAAUUUAGACUUAAACAAUGAGUCUAAAAAAAAUAUUAAUUAAAGGUAAGUAAGGAGGUCUGCUACCCUAGCACGUUUGUGUCUGCCGUCUCUGGCACGCUUUUAGGUUUUCAAGUUUUCUUUGAUCUUCUUGUUUUGUCUUCUUUCCUUAAUCCCUGCGCCUCUGUUUCUGGAAAAAUAUGGAGAAUGAUUUAGCCCAAUUAACAAUUAAUGAAGAGGAGGAUGAUGUUAUCCAAAUCCAAGAAAAUCCUGGAACGGAAAGAACAGAAGAGUUUCUUCAACUGGUGAGGUGUUUUCUUACAGCAAGUAUCAUUCAUUUUCCUGCUAUGAAAAGUACUAUGGCGAAUCUGUGGCAUCCUGUUCGUAGAGUUCGUAUUCAAGAUCUGGGGGAAAAAAGGUUUUUGUUCCAAUUUUUUCAUUAUAUGGAUCUUGAAAGGGUAUUGAAGGUCCCUUUAGUAUUAACCCCUUUUUGGGUUCAGAUUCAUGAUGUUCCAAUUGGUUUGUUUUCUGAAAAUCUAGCAGCUAAUCUGAGGAAUUUUCUAGGAAAUUUCUUGGAAUAUGAUGGGACUAAUUUAGGGAAGGAAAACUGGAAUUUUAUGAGGAUCAGUGUCCAAGUUGAUAUCAGACGUCCUUUGAAAAGAAAGAAGCUACUCGAAUACAGGGGGAGAAAGUCAUAUGUCCGGUUUAAAUAUGAAAUACUGACACUUUUUUGUUUCUUUUGUGGAAAAUUGGGUCACAAUGAUUCUUUUUGUGAGGCAAAAAUGUUGAUGGGAGUAGAAAUCGCAGAUAUGGGGUGGGAUUUAUCAAUAAGAGCACAGUCCCGAAGAGCUCUGUCCAUGAAUAGUGUUUGGCUACGAGAAGAGGGGGAGGGGGCUGUAGGUGGAAUUCUGGAAGAAAAUAGGGGUUGUGCAAGGGGACUAAGGAGAAUGGAACGCAGUAAGAGUUAUGGGAAGGCAGUUGAUCCAAUUCUGGGUUUUAAUGUGGAAGGUGACUCUUUGUGCGAAGAAGAUACGCAGGUUAACUCAUUGAUUGACUAUGGCCAGUAUGCGAUGGAACAUGAUUUAGAGGAUAAGGCUUUAGUGGGAGAAGAAGGUAAAAAAAAGAGCCAGAAUGGAGAAUAAUGAUUCACUACAGAAUGAGGGGAUUACCUCCCAGGUAAGAGGUAGGAGAUCGAGGGAUCUUAACCAAUUGAUAUCGGCGACUGCCAAGUGGCAAGCCAACCAGGAAUUAUGAAAAUCCUAAGUUGGAAUGUCCGUGGAUUGGGGAGUUCACGGACAUUUAGAAGACUUCGACACUCGCUAAAGACUUACGACCCCCAGAUUGUCUUCUUUAUGGAGACGAAAAUUGGCAAAAUUCAAAUGGAGAAAGUUAGGCAAAGAUGUGGUUUUGUGAAUGGUAUAGAGGUGGAUCCAGAGGGAACUAGAGGAGGGCUUUGUUUGGCUUGGAGGUAUGAGGUCAAUAUCACUCUGAAAAGCUUCUCCAAAAGACAUUGAUGUGAUAGUGCAUGAUAAUGAAAGGGAGGUUAUAUGGCAAUUUACAGGAUUUUAUAGAACUCCGUAUGCACGAGAUAAAGAAGAUUCAUGGGCUAUUUUGAAAAACCUUUAUAAUGGAGAGAAUAAUCCAUGGUUAGUAUGUGGAGAAUUUAAUGAAAUCGUGUAUGGUUUUAAGAAGAAAGGAGGUACACCCCAAGACGAGAGAAUGAUGGAACAGUUCCGGAAAUCAUUGGAAUUAUGUCAACUGAAUGAUGUAGGAUAUGUGGAUAGAUGGUUUACAAGGGAACGAGGCAAUCUACCAGAGACAAAUAUACGAGAACGCUUGGACAGAGGGGUAGCAAAUAAGGAGAUGAUUUCGUUGUUCUCUGAUAUAAAAGUUCAGCAUUUGGUGCAUUCUUUUUCUGAUCAUUGUCCUCUCCUUAUUGAUACAAAGAAGGAAAUCAGACAGAGGAAUGAAAAAAGUUUCAGAGUCGAAAACUGGUGGUUUUUGGAGGAUUCAUUUGUCGACACAGCUGAACAUUUAUGGAAGAUGUCAACCGGUAACUUCCUACAGAAAUUGGAUUUCAUAAAGAUGGGGUUGGAAGAUUGGGCAGGAAAAAUUUUAAAGAACAAAAAAGGGAAAAAGAAUUAUUAAACAGUAAAAUAAUCUGAAUUGCUUGAAGCUGAAAGGGAUGCUAGCAAUAUGGCAGAGAUAAUUGAUACGAAAAUCCAGCUUAACUUGGAGAUUGAGAAAGAUGAAAGAUAUUGGCAGCAAAGGGCCAACUGAAUUGGCUCAAAUUAGGGAUAAAAACACUGCCUUUUUCCAUAGCCAAGCAACUCAGAGGCAAAAGAAAAACAUGAUCAAGAGUUUGCAGUCCGGACAUGGUAGGGCCACGAAAAAUCUACAUGAAAUGGAAGGAAUUGCUAGGUCUUACUUUCAGAAUCUAUUUUCAUCAGAGAACCAAGGAAAUUGUGAUUACCUACUUUCGGGUAUUAAUCGUUGCAUUAGUGACGAGGAUAAUAAAAGGCUCACCGCACAUUAUACAAGGGAGGAAAUUCGUGAGGCUCUUUUUGAAAUAGGACCUACUAAGGCGCCAGGUGAAGAUGGACUACCAGCCAUCUUUCUUUAGAAGUGCUGGCAUUUUAUUGGCGAGGAUACAGUUUCAUUUUGUCUUCUACUCUUAAACGGUGAUAUGGAGGUCAGUGUUAUUAAUUCAACUCAUAUUGUACUCAUUCCAAAAAUUAAUAAUCCCACAAAUAUGUCACAGUUUAGGCCUAUCAGUUUAUGCAAUGUUGUUUACAAAGUUAUUGCAAAAACUAUAGCGAACAGAUUUAGAGGGGUGAUUGAUAAAUGCAUUGAUAAGGCUCAAAGCGCUUUUGUCCCAGGAAGAUUAAUCCCUGAUAAUGUUUUGCUUGCUUAUGAGAUACUGCAUUCUUUAAAGCAAAGAAGAGUGGGGAAAAAGGGUUACAUGGCAGUAAAACUAGAUAUGAGCAAGGCCUAUGAUAGGGUGGAAUGGAUUUUUAUCAAAAAGUUAAUGUCUCGAAUAGGAUUCGCUCAAAGUUGGAUUGACAAUAUUAUGAAAUGUUUGACUACUGUCUCAUAUAAGGUUGUGAUCAAUGGCAACGUUGGAAUGAAAUUCUAUCCAGAAAGAGGACUACGACAAGGGGACCCUUUGAGCCCAUUUAUUUUCCUUAUAUGUGGAGGACUUUCCAGUCUCAUGAGAACAGCAGUAGAGGAAGGAUUUUUAAAGGGUGUCAAAGUAAGUAGACGAGGUCCACAUAUAUUGCACUUAUUAUUUGCAGACGAUUGUAUCCUUUUUGGUGAGGCAACAUGUAGAGGGGCUACUUCAUUCAAGGCAAUAUUAAGUGAAUAUAGAAGGUGCUCGGGGCAAUGUGUGAACUUUGAGAAAUCACCCAUCUUUUUCAGCAAAAAUACUAUUGAGGAGGAAAGAAGACGGAUUGUUAAUUUGCUUAGAGUCCGAAGCUCAAAUGAGUCUGAACGUUACCUUGGUCUGCCAACCAUGGUGGGACGACAGAAGAAAGUUUCCUUUCAAGUAUUGAAGGACAAAGUAAAACAGCGAACUGACAAUUGGAGUAUGAGAUUUUUAUCGCAGGGUGGAAAAGAAGUGUUUAUCAAAGCUGUUUUGCAAGCUAUUCCACCUUACUCAAUGGCCUGUUUCUUACUUUCAAAAUCCUUAUGUGACGAAAUGGAAGCAAUCAUUGAGAGAUUUUGGUGGAAAAAAGGUCAGGGAAAAGGGGGAAUUCAUUGGAGCUCGUGGAAAAAUUUAUGCAGUUUAAAAGAGAAUGGAGGUUUAGGCUUUCGUAAUCUCAGUCAAUUCAAUAUUGCAUUGCUUGCUAAACAGGGGUGGCGUCUUUUCAAUUAUCCGAAUUCGCUUUUAGCCAAGGUUCUUAAAGCAAAGUAUUAUCCAAAUUCAAAUUUUCUAAGUGCAGAGUUGGGGAAUUUACCUUCCCUUACCUGGAAGAGUAUAUGGGCUGCAAAGGGACUUCUCACUCAAGGCCUGUGUUGGAGAGUUGGGAAAGGAAACAACAUUUCUAUUUGGAAUGAUCAGUGGAUCCCGGGGAUCGAACCUAGUAUAUGGCAGUAUAGUCAUCAAAAUGGAGAGCUGGAAAAUGUAUCAGAUCUUAUUGAUGGAAUACAUAAGAUGUGGAAAGUGGAGGUUGUUACUCAUACCUUUCAACUGGACAUUGCACAAAGAAUAUUACAGAUCCCACUUGCAACUAUAGAUAGUGAAGAUUUGCUCGUUUGGAAAGGUGAACCGUCUGGAGAAUUCUCAGUAAGGAGUGCUUACAAACUAUUACAAGAUGCUAAUCUGGAUCCUAAUAAUUUAGUACAGACCAGGGAUUUAAAUUGCGGUCGCGGUCGCGUUUUCGGUCGCAUUGCGUUUAUCGCGGUUGCGGACAUAACGGAUGCUAUUGCGGUCAUUGCAGGUAUCGCGGUCGUGAAUUUUACAUUACUUAUUGUGUAUUGCGGGUAUAGCGGGUUUCGGUAGUAGCGGUUUCGGACGGUGCCGUUACCGCUAUAUAACGGCCGCUAUUUCGGUAACGGACCGCUAUUUAAAUCCCUGGUACAGACCGAUUUCAAAGAUUUCUACAGAAAAUUAUGGCAAUUACAACUUCCAUAAAAAAUUCUACUCUUGAUCUGGAGGAUUUCCUGGAACUACAUUCCUACACUAGUCAAUCUACGUUGCAAACGUUUAACCACAAACGUGAGAUGUUCUCGAUGUGGUUCCGGGGAAGAAAACACUCUCCACGUAUUUUUGCAGUGUCCUAAAAGCAAUGAAGUUUGGCAAAACAUUAGUAUGACUUGGGUAACACAAUACAGAUAUCAGAAUACUAGAACAUGGCUUACUUGGGUCUUCGAAAAAGGAACCAAUGAGUAGUGUAAGGUGUUUUGUUGCGCCUUAUGGGUAAUAUGGAACUCACGAAAUCAAAUGGUGCAUGAGAGGAAGAUUGUAUCAGGAAGGGACCUUGCUCACAGAAUAAAGGUUUAUUUAGCUGAGAUUGAAACAGUGGGAAUGGAAAAACGUACCUUGAAGACUGAUGAAGUUCAGAGACAUUGGGAAGCGAGAACACAUGACACGAUUCACUUUGAUGCAGCCUUUGAUUCUAACAGGUAUAGAUCGGCGUCGGGAGUUAUUGUUCGAGACUGGAGGGGAGAGUUAAAAGCCUUGAAAACAACCCUCCACUCCAAUAUUUCAUCUCCGUUUCUCGCAGAAGCAUAUGCAUGCCUACAAGCAGUAAAGUUAGGCUUAGCAAUGGGUCUCCGAUCAGUUACAAUCAAGGGAGAUUCGAAAACGGUCAUAAAGAAAUGUCAAGCAACAGGUAUGGAUAAGUCGAUUAUCGGAGCAGUCAUCAGAGAUAUUCAGAAGCAAAGUUCUCGAUUUCAAGAAAUAAUUUUUCAGUUUAUUCAAAAACCAGAAAACUAUCAAGCCCAUAAACUAGCAAAAGAAACAUUAGCAAAGGGGGAAGAGAGGAACCUAGUCGGAAUCGAGAGGAUCUGCAAUGAAGAACUUCUGCAGGAGGAAUGGGAAAGGAACCCGGACUGAAGGGUUUUCAAAAGAAAAGGGUUUUGGAAAUGAUAACAGAUGGUAGAAAAUCUUUUGGGAAAUUGUUAUCUUCAGAACAGAUGUGACGAUUCAGUAUGGAGAAGUGGGAAUUAAUUGCGUCCAGCUGUUAGAAUUGACUGGGUUUUAAUGUUUAUUCUUUUAUUUAUUACUUUUGCUUUUUCAUUUUCUGUUUUGCUUUUAGGAUUUGUCUUUUUUGGGCAUACUUUGCAGCCCAAUUCUGCUUUUGUUUUAGUUGUAAUCCGUAGGAACUUAACCCAAACUUUUUUGGUAUUUCUUUGGUUUGAUUUAUAAUAGCCCAGUUUGAUUAUUC
rnacentral:lncRNA from 1 species